rnacentral:rRNA from 1 species
CUUGAUAACAUAAGAGGUCCAGCCUGCCCAGUGACUCAAUUCAACGGCCGCGGUAUCCUAACCGUGCAAAGGUAGCGUAAUCACUUGUCUUCUAAAUAAAGACUAGUAUGAAAGGCACCACGAGAACUAAACUGUCUCCUUUUUCUAAUCAGUGAACCUAAUCUCCCUGUGAAAAAGCAGGGAUUUAAUAAUAAGACGAGAAGACCCUAUGGAGCUUUAAACACAUAACACUGCCCUUUUACACCACAAUGUUCCAUGCACAAUGAUUAAGAGUUUUUAGUUGGGGUGACUACGGAGUAAACCCACCCUCCGCGAUGAAUCAAACAAGCGACAACUUUAUACAUCAGCAAACUGACACCAUUGACCCAAUUUAUUGAUCAACGAAC